rnacentral:lncRNA from 1 species
AUAUUCUGACUUCGAUCUAGUACAUCGCACCAUAUUUAAAGUAGAAAAAAAUAAAAAUUCGUAUUGAGUUUCACAUUAAAACUCUGCCUUUCGGUACUGCAAUUAAUUAAAAACAAAAAUAGAAAAAGUUACGAAAAAAUUUAUUAAACGAAUUCUUUCACCGCUUAAUCGACUUGUUUUAACUAUUAAUGGAAGUUUAAGUGAGUAGGAUGAAUACCUCCCCAUAAAAAAAAAAGGAAAAAGAGAGAAGUAAAAAUUGCCAGAAAUGAGUCGCAUCGUCAUCGUCUCUGAUGGAGAAGUUAUCCUUCAUUAAACGGUUUAUCGAUAUAGUUUUCGGGAGGAAAUAUGCGAUUUUUGUUUAAUGGAUGUUUGGUUAGUUCUUCGACAUGUUCCAUUCGAGUUUAUCAUAAGAAAAGAAAACGGGGGGGAAAAAUCAGUCCCGCCUCUUACAUUUCUUCAUUAUUGCAGCAUUAAGAUCUUGAUAAAGGAUAAUGUCUACCGGAAAAUAAAUUGCUAAGUUCCUCCCAAGCUAGAAAUCUGCGCUUGUGUAUACAGAGUUAAAGAGAUGAAAACUCAAUUAUCAUGCAAAAAAAAAAAACACGGCAUAGAAUAAUUCCAGAUUAGAAUUUUAAAUUAGGCCUUCUUCAAAAUUAUACGUGUUUAUACCAGAGCAAAACGAAUUGAUGUUUAAAUAGAAGAAAAAAAAAAAAAGAGAGUUAAAAGUUCAAUUUUCUCACAGAAACCAUUUUUAACAUGUUUAAUUUUUGUAUACAUAAGAUUAAAUUCUUUUUUUCUUCUUUUUCUAUUAAAGAAUCCAUCCUGUUACAGUGCAAUCUAGUCGAACUCGCUUGGGUUUUGGUAUCUUUAAAAAAAAAAAAUUGCUGUAGUUCGGCUUGUAUAAACAAUUUCACAGAUUUUAAAAAUCGAAUUUCGUGUGGAAUAUCAUUAAAUCUUUUCGGUGAAUAUAAACAUGUAGAAUCAGCAGAAUUACUCCGGCUUGGUGGAGCAAAUAUGGUUUAGAAUGUUGUAAGGCGAAUUUCCGUGUUCUAUCAACCGUUUCAGAACAUUCAUACAUCACUUUUAGAGUUGUAUAUUCUUGUGUUGACUCUCUUCUAGGAAAUGGGUUAACACAAAGGGACUACGAUCUAUAUAGUGGAAACUUAAACUAUUCUACCCGUAUUGGAUCCGUUAGCAGUCUAUAUACUCAAUUUUCUAUUAAUUUAUAUACUCCUACACGAAAUUUAUAGACAACUUAGUAAUUUAAUCAUCGUUUAUUCAAAUGAGUUUAAGCUUCAAACACGUUAAUAUUCAUUGAUCGAAGAUUUAUUUUAGUAAGAAACUCGGCCCUGUUUAUUCAGUGUAAGUUGACAGGUUUGACUUUAUCCAUAUAAUUAUCUGACCUUCGAUCGGAGAUGCUAAUUAACUUGAAGGAAUAUAACACACUUCUUCGUCAUCUUAUAUGUUAUAUUUCAUCUACAACUUCUGGCUGAACUUGUGAACUGAGAAAAUAACCUUUCGACAUUUUCAAUUUAUCCACUUUCGACUGUAUUGGACGAGUUAGAGAGAUGGAGAGAGAGAGAGAGAGAACUCGAAAGUCGUAAAAAAACCGAAUGUGUUUCGGAAAUUAUCUGAUUGAACGAGAUCAUUUUUCGACUUUUCUGCUUAUUUAAUCUCACCAGAUUUUAGUAAUGAGAGUCAGCUUCUCAAAAAUUGAUAUGUGAAUGCGCUCUCGGUCCAAAGAAGAAAAGUCAACACUCUUAUUAAUUAGAUGUACCUUCAAGAUAUGAUUCUGUUGAUACAGAAGGAUUAUGUAAACAUCACAAUUAAAUAAUCGCAAGUCUGUGAAAUUUUUAAUUAAACUACACUUAAAAAUUUAAUAUAAUUUAUAUACAUUUUAAUUUUUUCCGUUUUAUUUUUACUUUCUUUAAAAAACACAAAAAAAUUACUUAAAAGAAUG